UGCCCAACUCUCAUCAGUCUGGUCGAAGCAGUGCCGAGGGCAUUCAGUUCCAGGUGCUUGCCGGACCCUUGGAUUUCACGAAUCCUCGGAUUCCAAUUCAGCUGCUGCUGAAUUGGACUGCGAGGAUUCCCUGUUGUAUCCCUUCGAUUGUCCCUAAAGUUGUGAAGGAGAUGAACUAGUUAUCCCAUUUUCAACCACAUCGGGUUUUAUGCCAAGAUGGUAAGAUUCCCAAACCAGUCAAGGGCCUGUAAUUGGCAGAGUCUUCAAGAGACUUCUUCUGCCUGAGGCGUAGAUUUUUCCCUGUCCUGAAAUUUUGAAAAUCUGAGCUGCAAAGUCCUGUCUAACAUCGAGAAAAUGGAGUCUUUAAGUUUGGCUCUUCUUCUCUAGCAUCUGUUUAAUGCCUUAUGCCAAAAUGGCGAAAUAAGAAGUUCAUUCCAAUGGAAGCAAAUCAAGGGGCUUCCAUGAGACGUCUACAAUCUUCAAGUAGAGUAUGGCACUGCCCUUAAAUCUUAGAACCCCUUGGAACUAGAAGUCUGAGCUUUGGACGCCUGGAUCUUCUUCUCUAGCAUCUACCUGUGUUUGGCUAAAAAUAUAAAAUAAAUAU
rnacentral:sRNA from 1 species